UACGGAAGGCAGCAGUGGGGAAUAUUGCACAAUGGGCGCAAGCCUGAUGCAGCCAUGCCGCGUGUAUGAAGAAGGCCUUCGGGUUGUAAAGUACUUUCAGUCGUGAGGAAGGUGUUAAGGUUAAUAACCUUAGCAAUUGACGUUAGCGACAGAAGAAGCACCGGCUAACUCCGUGCCAGCAGCCGCGGUAAUACGGAGGGUGCGAGCGUUAAUCGGAAUUACUGGGCGUAAAGGGCACGCAGGCGGUUAAUUAAGUUGGAUGUGAAAUCCCCGGGCUUAACCUGGGAAUGGCAUUCAAGCUGGUUAGCUAGAGUCUUGUAGAGGGGGUAGAAUUCCAUGUGUAGCGGUGAAAUGCGUAGAGAUGUGGAGGAAUACCGGUGGCGAAGGCGGCCCCUGGGACAAAGACUGACGCUCAUGUGCGAAAGCGUGGGGAGCAAACAGGGAUUAGAUACC
rnacentral:rRNA from 1 species